CAACAGGUUGAGAUUCCUGUACUAAUAUUAAUCGUUAAGAGCAAUGGAGGGACGCAGUAGGCUAAUGGCGCAUGUAACUGGAAUCAUGUGUAAGCGUCAAGGCUUGAAGUGAGUCAAAUGCUUGCUUCUAAAAGGCUGAGGCGUGAUGCGGAGCGAAAUAAAGUAGCGAAGGUCAUGAUGUCACACUGCCGAGAAAAGCUUCUAGCCAGAGAGAUAUUACCCGUACCGCAAACCGACACAGGUAGUCGAGGAGAGAAUCCUCAGGUGAGCGAG
rnacentral:rRNA from 1 species